UACGGAGGGUGCGAGCGUUGUCCGGAAUCAUUGGGCGUAAAGGGCGCGUAGGUUGCCCGGUCAGCGUGCGGUGAAAGCUCGGGGCUCAACCCCGAGUCGGCCGUGCGAACUGCUGGGCUUGAGCACUGUAGAGGCAGGCGGAAUUCCGGGUGUAGCGGUGGAAUGCGUAGAGAUCCGGAAGAACACCAGUGGCGAAGGCGGCUCACUGGACCGGUAUUGACGCUGAGGUGCGAAAGCGUGGGGAGCAAACAGG
rnacentral:rRNA from 1 species